UAUUAUUAACCGGAACAUGUCCAGUACCUAGUAAAAACUCCAGUGUGAACCGGAUAAACUACACUCCUGCAAUGCAAUAUUCUGAAGGAAACCUUAUGUUUCAGCCCAAUUUCACACGGAGUUCUGGCAACGUCGAUAAAUGACUCGCAGCCCGGUCGGGGACAUGGUGAAGCACCGAUAAACAGGAAUGAAUGGAACAAAAUUAAAAUACCCGCGAUGGGCAACAACCACCGUUCAGAAUACCCGGUAAAGAGUUCCCGGUCUAAUGUUUCAAAAAUCCCAGACCAAUCAGAUAAAAAUAAAUCGGAUGUCGAUCCGGUUAUAAAUUUCAACGAUAUGAACGGGUUGAAUGGCAGCGUUUGCAGCAAAAAGAAUUAGAUAUCGUCAAAAUUAAUGGGAAAUUGCGGCUUUGAAGAGUCUCCGAACGCUGAAGACUGUGACGCUGAAGACCGUGACGUUUUAUACAUCAUCACCCCGGCGAAGUAUGUAGUCCGGCAAGAUAGGGACUACAUUUGUUCUGUGGAAGGAUACAGGAUGCCGGAUAGUUUCUCGUAAAAUGCAUCAGUCGGUGAAUGAGUAAUCUGGAGAGAAAUUGUCUAAUGUCAACUCGUCAAAUCUGCGGAUAGUUUAGCAUACAACCAGCCGAAGGUGACGAAAACAUGGAGAGGCGUACCGAAAACAGCUUGGGGACGCGGCCUAUAUUGAGCUGAAAGAGAUGAUUCCGUUGAUUGAUUUAUGGUAUAUCGCCAUUGCAGGACAAACGUGCUUUCAUGGCAGAUCUGCGUUAGGAAACUGCCAAUGACAGGCAAAAAAUUAGUUAUAUUUAUGUGUCGAUCAGUAUAUAUACAUUAGAGUGGGGCGUCAUGGUCAUUUUUUCAAAUCAAUGGUUUUUCGAAGCCAUUCUGGGUCCUGAACAACUCUGCAGAAUUUGGGAUCGAUUGGUUGCUUCCUCGCUUUCCGCAUCGCGUUUGAAGUUUGUAUGGAAAUUAGUAUGGGAGAACGUAUAUUUUUGCAUUUCUACUACUAGAGGUUUCACUUCAUCGUAAACCAAGUGGCACAUUGCGUUAAAGUAUAACCCAAAGGAUGCCGAAAAACUUUGCUGAAGAAGGCACGUUGCUGGAACGUCCACGAAAAAGGUUAUAACGCUUCGAAGAUUGAGUGUUCAAACCAUAUGCAAAAAAUCGUUUAUU